GAUGAACGCUGGCGGCGUGCCUAAUACAUGCAAGUCGAGCGAACGGACGAGAAGCUUGCUUCUCUGAUGUUAGCGGCGGACGGGUGAGUAACACGUGGAUAACCUACCUAUAAGACUGGGAUAACUUCGGGAAACCGUAGCUAAUACCGGCUAAUAUUUUGAACCGCAUGGUUCAAAGGUGAAAGACGGUCUUGCUGUCACUUAUAGAUGGUACCGCGCUGCAUUAGCUAGUUGGUAAGGUAACGGCUUACCAAGGCAACGAUGCAUAGCCGACCUGAGAGGGGGAUCGGCCACACUGGAACUGAGACACGGUCCAGACUCCUACGGGAGGCAGCAGUAGGGAAUCUUCCGCAAUGGGCGAAAGCCUGACGGAGCAACGCCGCGUGAGUGAUGAAGGUCUUCGGAUCGUAAAACUCUGUUAUUAGGGAAGAACAUAUGUGUAAGUAACUGUGCACAUCUUGACGGUACCUAAUCAGAAAGCCACGGCUAACUACGUG
rnacentral:rRNA from 1 species